UUUUAAAUUAGGCCUAUUUUUAUUUUUGAAAGGUUAAAAAUAUGGAAUAAUUUCUGGAAAAUAUUUAAACGGGAGGACAGCGGGAUAGAAGUAAAAAUACGGGAUAAUCCCGGGAAAACGUGAGUGUUGACAGGUAUGGUGGUCAUCCUGUAUGGAUCCAAGCAUUAAACUGCACAACAAAAACUGGAGAGUUGACAUUUCAGGGUUAAACAUUUCCGAGUUGAUUUCAACUCAAGAAGUGUUACUUUAACAUUUUCUGAUUGAAAUGUUUUUUAUGGUUGGAGUUAUUUCACUGUUCAUCAUGUCAGAGUUAGACCAACUCUGCAGAGACGUGAUUAAGCUCCGCCCCUGUAUUUCACCGCUUCGGUUGGAGACGAGUCCACGAUAAAUCAGCUCGAUUUUCUCUCCUCAUGCAGUUGACAGGGUAAGUACAAUUAUAUUAAACUCACUGAAAGAAUUAUAAAUGGUUGCUAUGAACUGCAUUAUUUACUGUGAAACAUCUACAGGGAAUGUAUGCCUUGCGAAGCCUUGUUUAGCCGUCUGUGGUAGCUACCAUAGCUAGCUAGCUAACAUUUGGUGGUAGCUAGUUAACCAACCUUUCCUUACUAAAACCAUCUCUUGAACAACAGCUAACAUGAAAAUUCAUUGCUGCAAUAAAAUACUCUUGGUCCUAAAUGGUGUUUUUUAUUCAUUUAGGGCGGCUUAACAUCAGCGAGACCCCAACAAAACGUGUCUCAACAGGCAUACAGUGGCUCACUUGUUGAACUUGUCUAGUUGUCCGUAAGACUGGGCCUUCACUGUAUUAAGUUAUUUUGUGUUUUACUGUUCUAUUUACAUUUCAAUUUAUUUUGUCAAACUUUCUUGCAUGUUUCAGUAAAAAUGUUGGUCCAGGUGAAGUACAGACAACAGCAGAAGUAUGUGAAAUUGGAUGCAGUUGAAGGACAGUUUGACUUUCUACAAUUCAAUGAAAAAGGUGGAUCAAGACUUCACCCUCUAUUUGAUCAUGAAACAUCCUCCAGGCUCCUUCAGAAAUGGGAUGUGUUCUUCAGUCCAAAUGUCAUAAGAGGCUAA
rnacentral:lncRNA from 1 species